rnacentral:ncRNA from 1 species
GAGUUACUGACUGUAGCAAGGUUAAUCUCUUAAGGAGAGGAGCCGUAGGGAAACCGAGUCUUAAUAGGGCGAAUAAGUUGCAGUAAGUAGACCCGAAGCCAGUUGAUCUACCCAUGGUCAGGGUGAAGCGAGGGUAAGACUUCGUGGAGGCCCGAACUGAUGUUUGUUGCAAAAAGCUCGGAUGAACUGUGGGUAGGGGUGAAAGGCCAAUCAAAGCUGGUGAUAGCUGGUUCUCCCCGAAAUGUAUUUAGGUACAGCCUGUGGUUAGUUUUCAAGGGGUAGGGCACUGGAUGGGCUAGGGCUUCGCAAGAGGUACCAAACCCAACCAAACCUCGAAUACUUGCAAAACGUUGCCAUGGAGUGAGACUGCGGGUGCUAAGAUUCGUAGUCGAGAGGGAAACAGCCCAGACCGUCAGCUAAGGUCCCUAAAUAGUGCUAAGUGUGGAAGGAUGUAGUUCUGCGUAGACAACCAGGAUGUUGGCUUAGAAGCAGCCACCAUUCAAAGAAAGCGUAAUAGCUCACUGGUCAAGUGGAACCGCGCCGAAAAUUCAACGGGGCUCAAGCACUAUACCGAAGCUACGGAAGCAUAGCAAUAUGCUUGGUAGGGGAGCAUUCUGUACACCUGUGAAGGGAGAUUGUGAGGUCUCCUGGAGGAAUCAGAAGAGAAUAUGUCGGCAUAAGUAGCGUAAAGACUGAUGAGAAGUCAGUCCGCCGUAAACCUAAGGUUUCCUGGGGAAGGUAAAUCCGCUCAGGGUUAGUCGGGCCUAAGAUGAGGCCGCAAGGCGUAAUCGAUGGACAGCAGGUUAAUAUUCCUGCACUGUUUUGUAGUUGUCGAUCCUAGGGGGGACGCAGAGAGGUAGUCUGAGCCUGGUGAUGGUUCAGGUCUAAGCGCCGAAGCUUGUUGGUAGGCAAAUCCGCCAACUUUAAGGCUGAUGCGCGAUGGGGAAGCGAUUUUUUCGUGAACUCAGAUGAUCCUGCACUGACAAGAAAAACCUCGAGAGUAGACUGCAAGACAUCCGUACCGCAGACCGACACAGGUAGGUGGGUAGAAGAUACCAAGGCGUACGAGAGAAACCUCGCUAAGGAACUCGGCAAAAUAACCCCGUAACUUCGGGAGAAGGGGUCCCUGUGUAAUGCAGGGCGCAGAUAAAUGGCCCAGGCGACUGUUUAUCAAAAACACAGGUGCCUGCAAACUCGUAAGAGGAAGUAUAGGCACUGACGCCUGCCCGGUGCCGGAAGGUUAAUGGGAGGUGUUAUUCGCAAGGAGAAGCACUGAACUGAAGCCCCGGUAAACGGCGGCCGUAACUAUAACGGUCCUAAGGUAGCGAAAUUCCUUGUCGGGUAAGUUCCGACCUGCACGAAUGGCGUAACGAUUUGGGCACUGUCUCGGCGAGGUGCUCGGCGAACUUAAGUUACCGGUGAAGACGCCGGUUACCCGCAGCUAGACGGAAAGACCCUGUGCACCUUUACUGCAGCUUGGCAUUGAGUUUUGGUGUAGUACGUGUAGGAUAGGUGGGAGGCGCUGAAGGAGAGACGCUAGUUUCUCUGGAGCCAACCUUGAAAUACCACCCUUAGUAUACUGGAGCUCUAACUUACACCUGUAAUCCAGGUGAAGGACAUUGUCUGGCGGGCAGUUUGACUGGGGCGGUCGCCUCCUAAAGAGUAACGGAGGCGUCCAAAGGUUCCCUCAGGCUGGACGGAAAUCAGCCGUAGAGCGCAAAGGCAAAAGGGAGCUUAACUGCGAGAGAGACAUCUCGAGCAGAUACGAAAGUAGGGCUUAGUGAUCCGGUGACUCUGAGUGGAAGGGUCAUCGCUCAACGGAUAAAAGGUACGCCGGGGAUAACAGGCUUAUCGCGUCCAAGAGUUCACAUUGACGACGCGGUUUGGCACCUCGAUGUCGACUCAUCGCAUCCUGGGGCUGAAGCAGGUCCCAAGGGUUCGGCUGUUCGCCGAUUAAAGCGGUACGAGAGUUGGGUUCAGAACGUCGUGAGACAGUUCGGUCCCUAUCUGCUGUGGGCGAAGGAGACUUGAGAGGCGCUGUCCUUAGUACGAGAGGACCGGGAUGGACGAACCUCUAGUGUUCCAGUUGUCAUGCCAGUGGCAAUGCUGGGUAGCUAUGUUCGGAUGAGAUAACCGCUGAAAGCAUCUAAGUGGGAAACUCACCUCAAGAUUAGGUCUCCCGGGUAGUAAUACCCCUAAAGGUCCGUGGUAGACCACCACGUUGAUAGGCUGAAGGUGUAAGUGUGGUAACACAUUGAGCCGAUCAGUACUAAUAGACCGUGUGCCUUGACCCU